AGGUGUAGCAAUACACCGGAAGAUCUAGUGGCGAACGGGUGCGUAACACGUGAGGAACUUGUCCCGGUCUCUGGGAUAACAGUUGGAAACGACUGCUAAUACCGGAUGACGUCGGAGCAUCGCAUGGUGCGCUGACGAAAGGGUUACUGGAUCGGGAGAGCCUCGCGGCCUAUCAGCUUGUUGGUGGGGUAAUGGCCCACCAAGGCAUCGACGGGUAGCUGGUCUGAGAGGAUGAUCAGCCACACUGGGACUGAGACACGGCCCAGACUCCUACGGGAGGCAGCAGUGGGGAAUCUUGCGCAAUGGGCGAAAGCCUGACGCAGCAACGCCGCGUGCGGGAAGAAGGCUCUCGGGUUGUAAACCGCUUUCAGCAGGAACGAAAAUGACGGUACUUGCAGAAGAAGGUGCGGCCAACUACGUGCCAGCAGCCGCGGUGACACGUAGGCACCAAGUGUUGUCCGGAUUUAUUGGGCGUAAAGAGCUCGUAGGCGGUUCGGUAAGUUGGGUGUGAAAACUUUGGGCUUAACCCAAAGCCUGCAUCCGAUACUACUGUGACUAGAGUUCGGUAGGGGAGCGGGGAAUUCCUAGUGUAGCGGUGAAAUGCGCAAAUAUUAGGAGGAACACCGGUGGCGAAGGCGCCGCUCUGGGCCGAUACUGACGCUGAGGAGCGAAAGCGUGGGUAGCA
rnacentral:rRNA from 1 species